UUCAAGAAUUGGGGUGUGACAUUUUGAAAAGAGUGCCACAGUUUUGAGUGAGACUCAUGAUGGAAUGGUGAUGUCGGCCUUGAAUUUCCUGCAUUGAGAAAGGUUAGUUGAAAUUUUUUUAUUUUUCUUUCUUUUUUCUUUUGUCUCUUUUUUCUUUUCUUUUUUGUUGUUUUGAAUUUUUUCUUGUUUUCUUUCUUUUUUCUUUUGCUUAUUUUUUCUUUUCUUUUUUAUUAAUAGGAUGAACAGGUAGUCAGAAAUCAAAGGGAUCUUGUUCACAUGGUCCUCCAUAAUCUGCACAAGAUCCUUCAGAGGUGGUAUCUUCUGUUUCUGAUUCUCUUUUCAUCUUGAUGAAUUGUAAAUAUUCUUUGGCUGUUUUGGGAUCCUCUUCAAAGAGUUGGAACAUCUUGACUUGCUUUUGAGAAAGAG
rnacentral:lncRNA from 1 species